AGUAUACAUAAGAGUUUGAUCAUGGCUCAGGAUGAACGCUGGCGGCGUGCUUAACACAUGCAAGUCGAACGGUGAAAGAGAGCUUGCUCUCUGGAUCAGUGGCGAACGGGUGAGUAACACGUGAGUAACCUGCCCUUGACUCUGGGAUAAGCGUUGGAAACGACGUCUAAUACCGGAUAUGACUUUCGGAGGCAUCUCCUGAAGGUGGAAAGAAUUUCGGUCAAGGAUGGACUCGCGGCCUAUCAGCUAGUUGGUGAGGUAAUGGCCCACCAAGGCGACGACGGGUAGCCGGCCUGAGAGGGUGACCGGCCACACUGGGACUGAGACACGGCCCAGACUCCUACGGGAGGCAGCAGUGGGGAAUAUUGCACAAUGGGCGCAAGCCUGAUGCAGCAACGCCGCGUGAGGGACGACGGCCUUCGGGUUGUAAACCUCUUUUAGUAGGGAAGAAGCGAAAGUGACGGUACCUGCAGAAAAAGCACCGGCUAACUACGUGCCAGC
rnacentral:rRNA from 1 species